ACAACAUGGCGACUGUAGUAGGCUACGUCCAGAUAACAUUUGUACUACACACAUACAUACUAUAUAGAGCAUACUUUUUUACAAUUACGAUCUAAACGUCAAUUAUAACACAGAUGGAGAUCUGAGUGAAGGAGCAAGGAAGUUUGUGUUCUUCAAUAUUCCUCAAAUCCAGU